CAAAUGUGACGAGGGUAGACUUGGUUAAGAGUUAUAAAAAAAUUGAUCUUCUAAAUAUAAAAAUUACGAAAUUAAAAGAUAUUAACAGAAAAUAUUCAAAACUAUUUUCAUCUAUCUCAAUUUCCUUCAUUCACCUUUCCUUUGAAGCUUCAUUAUUCUAAUAGCACUAACCAUCUUCAUCUACAAUUUUGAAUUCCCAUAAAACUCAUCUCU
rnacentral:lncRNA from 1 species